GAUGAACGCUGGCGGCGUGCCUAAUACAUGCAAGUCGAGCGAACAGACGAGGAGCUUGCUCCUCUGACGUUAGCGGCGGACGGGUGAGUAACACGUGGAUAACCUACCUAUAAGACUGGGAUAACUUCGGGAAACCGGAGCUAAUACCGGAUAAUAUAUUGAACCGCAUGGUUCAAUAGUGAAAGACGGUUUUGCUGUCACUUAUAGAUGUAUCCGCGCCGCAUUAGCUAGUUGGUAAGGUAACGGCUUACCAAGGCAACGAUGCGUAGCCGACCUGAGAGGGUGAUCGGCCACACUGGAACUGAGACACGGUCCAGACUCCUACGGGAGGCAGCAGUAGGGAAUCUUCCGCAAUGGGCGAAAGCCUGACGGAGCAACGCCGCGUGGGUGAUGAAGGUCUUCGGAUCGUAAAACUCUGUUAUUAGGGAAGAACAAAUGUGUAAGUAACUAUGCACGUCUUGACGGUACCUAAUCAGAAAGCCACGGCUAACUACGUG
rnacentral:rRNA from 1 species